AACGAACGCUGGCGGCAGGCUUAACACAUGCAAGUCGAACGCCCCGCAAGGGGAGUGGCAGACGGGUGAGUAACGCGUGGGAAUCUACCGUACCCUACGGAAUAACGCAUGGAAACGUGUGCUAAUACCGUAUACGCCCUACGGGGGAAAGAUUUAUCGGGGUAUGAUGAGCCCGCGUUGGAUUAGCUAGUUGGUGGGGUAAAGGCCUACCAAGGCGACGAUCCAUAGCUGGUCUGAGAGGAUGAUCAGCCACAUUGGGACUGAGACACGGCCCGAACUCCUACGGGAGGCAGCAGUGGGGAAUAUUGGACAGUGGGCGCAAGCCUGAUCCAGCCAUGCCGCGUGAGUGAUGAAGGUCGUAGGAUGGUAAAGCUCUUUCACCGGAGAAGAUAAUGACGGUAUCCGGAGAAGAAGCCCCGGCUAACUUCGUGCCAGCAGCCGCGGUAACAC
rnacentral:rRNA from 1 species